GAUGAACGCUAGCGGCAGGCUUAAUACAUGCAAGUCGAGGGGCAGCACAGAUAGCAAUAUUGGGUGGCGACCGGCAAACGGGUGCGGAACACGUACACAACCUUCCUUUUAGUGUGGGAUAGCCCAGAGAAAUUUGGAUUAAUACCACAUAGUAUAUUGGAGUGGCAUCACUUUGAUAUUAAAGAUUUAUCGCUAAAAGAUGGGUGUGCGUAUGAUUAGGUAGUUGGUAGAGGUAACGGCUCACCAAGCCUUCGAUCAUUAACUGGUGUGAGAGCCCGACCAGGCCCACGGGAACUGAGACACGGGCCAGACUCCUACGGGAGGCAGCAGUAAGGAAUAUUGGGCAAUGGACGGAAGUCUGAACCAGCCAUGCCGCGUGAAGGAUGACGGCCCUCUGGGUUGUAAACUUCUUUUAUGUGGGACGAAAAAGGGCCAUUUUUGGUCAACUGACGGUACCAUAGGAAUAAGCACCGGCUAACUCCGUGCCAGCAGCCGCCGUAA
rnacentral:rRNA from 1 species